UACGGAGGAGGCAAGCGUUAUCCGGAAUUAUUGGGCGUAAAGCGUCCGCAGGUGGCACUUCAAGUCUGUCGUCAAAGACUGGGGCUUAACCCUGGAAAGGCAGUGGAAACUGAACAGCUAGAGUGCGGUAGGGGUAGAGGGAAUUCCCGGUGUAGCGGUGAAAUGCGUAGAGAUCGGGAAGAACACCAGUGGCGAAAGCGCUCUGCUGGACCUGCACUGACACUGAGGGACGAAAGCUAGGGGAGCGAAUGGG
rnacentral:rRNA from 1 species